rnacentral:rRNA from 1 species
AUGAAAGAACAGGCAAAUGCACCCCAAGAUUUGCCCCCACAACUUCUCUUUGUUCAUCAGGGCCAGAAAGAUUUGAAGGAAUUGCACUGGCAUCCACAGAUACCUGGGAUGAUCAUAUCCACAGCAGCCGAUGGCUUCAACGUGUUGAUGCCUAGCAACAUUGACGCAACCAUUACAUCGGCUGGGGCAUCGAUUCCUAUGCGUAUGUGA